rnacentral:rRNA from 1 species
CGAUAACGAACGAGACCUUAACCUGCUAACUAGUUGCGGGUACGUGAGUAUCCGCACACUUCUUAGAGGGACUGACUACGCUUAGUAGUCGGAAGUUUGAGGCAAUAACAGGUCUGUGAUGCCCUUAGAUGUUCUGGGCUGCACGCGCGCUACACUGACAAAGUCAGCGAGUACUACCUUGGCCGAGAGGCCUGGGAAAUCUUGUGAAACUUUGUCGUGCUGGGGAUAGAUCAUUGCAAUUAUUGAUCUUGAACGAGGAAUUCCUAGUAAGCGCAAGUCAUCAGCUUGCGUUGAUUACGUCCCUGCCCUUUGUACACACCGCCCGUCGCUACUACCGAUUGAAUGGCU